UUGAAAUCCAGCCGAUAUUUUCAGUUGUUAAUUACUUUUGAAUCCACAUGGUGGUACAACUAUUAACUAGGAAUUAAAUGAAACUACUCUGUUGGCAAAAGUACAAUACAAAAAUAGGCGUAGUAGGUCAACCUUGAUAAAACCUUUCAUGACUGGACCGAAACUGGAAGAUAACCUUCACCUUGCUGCCACAAUAUAGAGCGAAGAAAAACCAGGGGAAAUAUUAGAAGCAUUGAGACUGUGACACCAGGAAGCAGACGUUACAGUGCUGAUGAUAACCCAUGACCCAGACAUGAUCCAACAGUUACCCUGACGUCUUUAGAAUACCUCACAGGCUGGGUUUACACAGACAGCCUAAAUCUGAUCUUUUCCCAAU
ensembl:lncRNA